UCGGAGCGCGUCCAAGCGAGUCGGUCACAGUUGGAGCCCCAAGAAAAGAAGAAGAACAUAUUUCGUUUCCCCCCUCCAUUUUCAAAGGAGAUACCGAUGACGAGAGAGAGAGGACCUGUGGGGUGAAAAAGAAAGAAAGAAAGAAGAAGUUUAGCUGGGCGCACACGGUUAUUUGACAGGUAAGGCCAGUUAGGGUGGGCAGUGUAGCCCGUAGCUAGGUCGGCGGAACCCCCCUUCCAACAUCUUGUGUGGGAGACGCGGUCAGAAGAGCCGAGGUACGCACAAGAGUUCACCUUAUGGGUGGAGGAAAGUGGCGUCCCCCCGCUGCGAUGAAAGAGGAUGGUUAUGUUCGUGUUGUACCCUUACUUUCGACGGACGGACAGACACCGGCGACGACCAUCAGGAAUGUUCACUUUCAAAAUGGGGGGGAAUAAGAAGACGAGAGGAAGGAAAGAACCAAAAUUUGUUAACCAACUCUAUUGUUCGCUCUUCUACCCUUCUUUGUUUAUAAUAGCGCCCGAGAAAGUGCUCAUUAGUCAUUCUUUCUUUUUCGUGUUUCUUAUUCACGACGAAAUGGUUGGCCAAACUUGGUCAUGGAUGCUGUUGCGUUCGCUAGUGGAAAAAAAAAUUAACUUUUAUAUACACCAGCACAAACCUUUAAAAGGGGUCCGCGCAAUAAGUUCCAUUCAUAACAGCCUGAUUGGAUCUUUUGGACCUAGGGGGGAGAGUUUAAUAUGGCCUCCGACUAGACGACACGGAAUCUGGCUGAAAGUGUAACAGUCGUCACAGUGUGUACGUAGUACCUAUAUAUACUGUAUAUCCCCAUUGUUUUUCGGUAGGACCACCGUCAACUUUUGAACAGCUUAAAGUUCGCCGUAUAAGUCUUUGUUCGAACUUAAAAUUCCGACGCUUCUUCUUUUAUGUCCGGUUUCACAUCCUGAAUUUGAAAAGGCUAUCUAGGAUACCAAUACCAGCAGGAACUUGGGACGAACCGUUCCAACCGCACUCAACUCGCUGACGGCCAGAUUUCGUCACAAGACGGUAUAUCAAUUUUGGAAAAAAUCCACGAACACAGUACUGUUGCAGCGGGAGAUUCUUUUCACGCCAACUGACACGAUCCGCCUUAUGGCAUCGGAAUCGGAUUUUGUUUCGUACAAAUCCAAAAUUCAAAUGAGACCACGCAUUCUUUACAUCUCACUCAUAAGUCAUAGCGUGUCUUUACAUACCCCCGAAAGAUGUUGGACAUGUGGGCGAUUCUACCAUGGACAUUGCGGAAAAACGGCGAGAUGGGAGACGACAUGACGUGACCAGCAUACAUUUUGCGGUUCUUUUUUUUUUAAUAUUAUGGAUGUAAAUAAUUUUAUGCGCAUAACUUUUCGGUUGUUCGUUUUCAACUUUAAGAAAAAAAUAAAAUAAAGGCAGAUAAGUGAAUCUUAACAAGUUAAAUGUUCA